rnacentral:tRNA from 16 species
GGGGUAUUAGCUCAGCUGGGAGAGCGCUUCGCUGGCAGCGAAGAGGUCAGCGGUUCGAUCCGGCUAUACUCCACCA